rnacentral:rRNA from 1 species
AGAUACCCUGGUAGUCCACGCCGUAAACGAUGUCGAUUUGGAGGUUGUGCCCUUGAGGCGUGGCUUCCGGAGCUAACGCGUUAAAUCGACCGCCUGGGGAGUACGGCCGCAAGGUUAAAACUCAAAUGAAUUGACGGGGGCCCGCACAAGCGGUGGAGCAUGUGGUUUAAUUCGAUGCAACGCGAAGAACCUUACCUGGUCUUGACAUCCACAGAACUUUCCAGAGAUGGAUUGGUGCCUUCGGGAACUGUGAGACAGGUGCUGCAUGGCUGUCGUCAGCUCGUGUUGUGAAAUGUUGGGUUAAGUCCCGCAACGAGCGCAACCCUUAUCCUUUGUUGCCAGCGGUUCGGCCGGGAACUCAAAGGAGACUGCCAGUGAUAAACUGGAGGAAGGUGGGGAUGACGUCAAGUCAUCAUGGCCCUUACGACCAGGGCUACACACGUGCUACAAUGGCAUAUACAAAGAGAAGCGACCUCGCGAGAGCAAGCGGACCUCAUAAAGUAUGUCGUAGUCCGGAUUGGAGUCUGCAACUCGACUCCAUGAAGUCGGAAUCGCUAGUAAUCGUAGAUCAGAAUGCUACGGUGAAUACGUUCCCGGGCCUUGUACACACCGCCCGUCACACCAUGGGAGUGGGUUGCAAAAGAAGUAGGUAGCUUAACCUUCGGGAGGGCGCUUACCACUUUGUGAUUCAUGACUGGGGUGAAGUCGUAACAAGGUAACCG